rnacentral:lncRNA from 1 species
UUUCUCAAGAGAAGAAAAAAUUAUUAAUAAGUAUUUCAUUAUGUGUAUAAAUGAAAUUGAAUUUAAAAUGAAUGCAUAAAAAUCAGAAUCAGAUAAAAUCAUAGACUGUAAAAGGUCAACCACUGCUCUUCCACAGACUUUAAAGAGUAUUGGUUCAGGCCCCAGAGCUGAGACCAUUAGUUAUUGAUUUUAAGCUAUUAUUUGGAAACCUUCAGAAUUUGUUUCUAAAUAACCAAGAGAAGAAAUAGACACAUUAGUUCCUACACUAGAAAUUUUCUAUUUUUUAUUAUAACCAGUCCUUACACAGGAAACGAGACAAUUUAGAAAGUUAGAGAGCAAAGUUAUUCCUGAGAAGCUUUCUCUUUAUCCAGUGUUUUCCCUCCCACACAGAAAAGUGGAACACAGAUGCCCUCGGUUCUUAGAAAUGAGUAGAAAAAGAAGAAAAAGCUGCAAGGGCAGAAAGAGCUCUGAUUCCAGAGAAUAUGAACAGUUAUCAUCCAUUUGUAAAUGCCAGCAAAGUGUAGGAAGCCUUGAAAAUAAAGCAGAUGAGGCUCUGACUCACUUUGCAGAGCCACAGGAUAUAAAGAGUACUGGUGAAGAUGGCAAAGAUCAUGAAAACAAGAAUCAGAGUAGCUCAGAAGCUUCUGAAGAUAGAGAUCUUGAUAACAUAUCAGACAGUGAAAAAGAAGGAAAGAAGAAAAAGAACUGCCCUCCUAAAAUGUUUUCUCCUCAGCAAGAUGAAAUCCUAGCUACAGUAACUUUUGGUGAAUCAGAGGGCUCAUCCAAAGGAAAAAUUACACUGUGGGGCAAGCCAGACUCUUCAGAGUCCAUUACCUUGACCACUGGAAAAAUUUCUGCAGAAGUAAAAUAUGGCUCUUUUAAUUUGAAAGUAGAAAUUAAGAAUGUUUCUUUAUCUGAUUCUGGAACAAACAUUGUGGCUGAAAAAAAGAAAAGUUCUAAGAACAAAAAAGGUUGUCAUGAAAGACAAUACCAGAAAAGUCAAGGUUCAAAAUGUUCAAAGUACCAGUGUCCUUCAACUUAC